rnacentral:misc_RNA from 1 species
CCGAGCGAGGGCCUCGGCCCGACCUCCAACCCAUUGAAGUUACCAACCAUGUUGCCUCGGGGGUGACCCGGCCUCGGCGUCGGCGCCCCCGAAGGACCAUACCACUCUGCGUUCCUGCGUCGGAGUUUGAGGGAAAAUGUUAAUCA